rnacentral:rRNA from 1 species
UAGCAGGACCCCAAGUGGUAGUCGUUAUUAUUGGGCUUAAAGUGUUCGUAGCCUGCCGUGUAAGUCCGCUGUGAAAUCCACGCGCUUAACGUGUGGGCGUGCAGCGGAUACUGCAUGGCUAGGGACCGGACGGCGUUGAGGCUAUUCCCGGAGUAGGAGUGAAAUCCUAAAAUUCCGGGAGGAGCACCUGUGGCGAAAGCGCUCAACGAGUACGGAUCCGACGGUGAGGAACGAAAGCUAGGGGAGCGAA